rnacentral:snRNA from 14 species
AAACUUACCUGGCUGGGGGGAUCUCGCGAUCAGGAAGGCGGGACCCCCGUGGUGAGGCCCCACAUUGCACUUUAGU